rnacentral:lncRNA from 1 species
AUUCGGCUAAUCAAUGUCUUUUAAGUUUCUCCUCAGAAACGGUGGCCAAUCAUCAUCUAUACAAAUCCAUGACAGGAUGAAAUGAGUUCAUGUGGAUCUGGGUGGCUCAAAGGAUGGACGACAGCAGGUGCUAUGGAGUCCUUUGUACUCUCUGUGAUUUUCCUGUGUCUAAGGACAGGAGAUGGCAUAAGCAGAUAAAAGGUGCAGAGUUGUAUUAGAAGUCCACACAUCCCAUGAAAGGCAUGGAAAAAUAGAAAGUUAUUCAUCAGAUUGCAAUGGACCUCUUAUAUAAAACUAAUUGGCCAUACACAAGAGGAUGGAGAAGAAAUGGGCUGCCCAUCUUUGUUGUAUUGAAGACUUACAUGGAUUUAAGAAUCACACUAAAAAUGAAAAUGGAAAUUGAAAUAUUUUUUCCUUAAACUCAACUUUUCCUACAUCAAAAUCUUUGUUAAAUCAGUAACGUUUGCAAAGUUUAGUCCCUGGGGAGAAGAUCAUUGUGUAAACUGGCAAACACAAACUCAUUCUCAACAUUCUUUCUGGAAUUAGAGAGAUCAUAUGUGUGCAACCUUGAGUUUCCAUGGUUGCUUCUCCCAUGUCCUGGCAUUCUGUUGGUGUCUCCAUGUGAAGAGACUUGAAGAACCGUGAAACUAGGAAAAAACCAGGGACCUCACCCAAACACUAAAUUGUGUUAGUGUACAGUUACUGCCAAUGAAUUUCUGAAUAAACCUCAGGGAAAAUGUGGACAUCCUGAACAUUAGCAAUACUGAUUGGGCUACAUCCAGCUUGUUAUUCAGAUCCUCUGCCCAUCCCUAUUUUGAGUCUGUAAUAAUGAUGUCAUUUUUUAUAUCCUAAGGAUGCCUGUUUAGGGAAAGCUGAAGAGAAUAUUGCCUAAGAAGAUAAGUAAUUUUUUUGUUUGUUGCUAAUAAGCUCAGGAACAGCAAACAUGGAAAAGAAAAAUAGUUCUUUGAAAAAAAAUAGAAACACCAUAGAAACACAAAACUAGUCCAAUCUUGCCUUCAUAGCUUGAGAAGCAACUAUUACAAAUGAAUUUAAGGGUUCUGUUGACCUAUCUGAUCGUAAAUUUUUAAGAAUUUAUUUCAUAUUUGUUUGACUAAAUGGCCUUUGAAUUAAAUAGCCAUUUUGGCUUCAAGACAAAAGAAUGGUUGAGUUACGCUAAGGACUGGAGCAUUAGCAUGCCUCACUGUGCUAAGAUGUCAUUCGUUCACAGGGAGCUUGAGUCCAGCCUAUUAAUAGGGUCAAAAUGAUAUUUCAGAGUAAUCAUUUCCGUGUAAAAGUUAAUUUCAUGAUUUAAUUUUUCUGUUUACGUAUAGUAAAAAAAUGCAUGAU